rnacentral:rRNA from 1 species
CGUAGGUGGCAAGCGUUGUCCGGAAUUAUUGGGCGUAGAGCGCGCGCAGGCGGUCUUUUAAGUCUGAUGUGAAAGCCCCCGGCUCAACCGGGGAGGGUCAUUGGAAACUGGAGGACUUGAGUGCAGAAGAGAAGAGCGGAAUUCCACGUGUAGCGGUGAAAUGCGUAGAGAUGUGGAGGAACACCAGUGGCGAAGGCGGCUCUUUGGUCUGUAACUGACGCUGAGGCGCGAAAGCGUGGGGAGCAAACAGGAUUAGAUACCCUGGUAGUCCACGCCGUAAACGAUGAGUGCUAAGUGUUAGAGGGUUUCCGCCCUUUAGUGCUGCAGCUAACGCAUUAAGCACUCCGCCUGGGGAGUACGGCCGCAAGGCUG